rnacentral:lncRNA from 1 species
GGCUCCAUGAGGAUGAGAAAACAGAGCCCAAAGGGUAAGGCGUGUGGCCAUGUUUCCACUACUACCAAGCAAGGAACUAGUACUCAGACACAGGACUGUUUGAGGCCAAAGCAUUGUCUUCACAAAUAAAGGACCGUGAAUAGAUACAAUUACCUCAGACGACAUCAGUGAGCAUGGGAUAUCUCAAAGUGACAACCCAUGAGCACAGAAUGCAGAGGAAAAGGACUUUUUUUUUCCCACUACCACAUUUCACUUCAACUCCAUGAGGCUGAGAGAGGGGACAGUCUACAUUCAUGACAUCAGCAUGCAGUAAGGACAAUCAAGUGCUGGAUUGACAGAUGAAGUGUCUGAGCAGAAGGAGAGAGUGAACUCCACAGAAGACACAUGGUCUGUCUGCUUCCCUGCUAAAUCCACGGUAUGAAUGCUUGCAGGGACUGUGUCCCUUCUGGUAAUAAAUAAACAAAGAAUGGAGGGAGAAAACUUGUCUUAUUUUACUUCUUAUUUAUGAAAUCAAACCUUUCUGGAGAAGGAUUACAAGGAUGAAUGCUUGAAGCCAGGGAGACCUGCCGUCACUGGGGAACGCUCAACCUCAGAAGCCAGCAAUUAUUCUCUAUGGCUUCAACAAAGAACAGCUGCCCUUCAGAAGACAGAACCUGGGUGGAGACUUAAGCCAUGAAAAUAAAUAAUCUGGCUGUGUGCAGGGGCCCAAUCUGGAGGCUGAAGCCAAAGGAAGUAGAGUUUUGAGGGCAUUGUGAGUUACAUAGCAUGUUUGAGGCCGGCCGGAGCUACAUGGCACCAGCAGGCUUGAGAGAUGGCCUUACACAAGCAAGAGGAUCUGUCCUCUUCAUUGGGACCUAGACUCAGAAAGAGUUCUGUGACGAAUCCAGCUGACCAAGAAACCUGUGGAGGAGGAAGAGAAGGUAUUCCAAGCAGUGGAGUAAUCUGGGCAAAGUCAUGGAAUGAUGACAAAUUCUGGGACAUAGAGGUGACAGAGUCAGACUCCUGUGUGGUCCCUAUGCUAGUAAGGCAUAAUAGUGACCAGCUGAGAGGUAGACAACCUCAGGUGGUGUUAGACAAACCCAAGUUCAAGAACGGACACUGCACCAGUUCCAUCUUUCUGGCUUCACUCCCUGAAAAGCAAGGGCUGGGAGGAAGAUGGGAAGAAGUAUCCUCUCCCUCAGGGUGCCCUCGGCAAAGAUGGAGGAUAGCACCCAGAAGCUCUGAGGAGGCUUGUGUUUAAAGAGAAAACACUGAAACGGCUGUGUCUUUGCUUCAGCUUGCUUGAACCACAAUAUUUAUUUGGAAUUUGAAACUCAUUAAGAGUGGCUGUGAAGUGUUUACCCAGGGUAACUUGGGUUAUCAAGAGACUGAGAAAGUUUGACUGAAAUGACCCUGAAUCCCUUCUGAGCCUUCAGUGUGCCAGAGGUCUGCAACACAGGAAGCACAGGGAGACACUGUGAGACUUGGAAGUUGCUGUUGGUCUCCAACUCCAGCUCACACUUUGCCAUUCAGUCCCUGUGCAGGUUAAAGUCCUGGGAUAUCUGGAGUGUCAGAUGCUUCCUUCAUAACAACCUGGUAUCACAGACUUGUGGGCUUAUUUCAAAUAAGCAGUACUUGGCACAUAACAGGUCCCAGCCAAGUACAAAGCUGUGCACAAAGCUAGCCAAGGCUUCCCUCAGUAGCCUACUCCUUGGUCAGAAUAAGGUCCUUUUGAAUGCUUCCCAUGGGAUGUUCCCCUGCCCCCAAAUACACUAUCAGGUCUCGUUUAUAAGGAGAUAUAAUGUGGGUUUGGGCCUCAGAAUAUAGCUUCAAUGAAUUUUGGGAAUUUAGGUAUGUGCUUGGAACCACUCCAAGGUUAAAAAUCUUUUAAAAACUAAAGCAUUAUUAAAAUUAUCCUGAAAAUCUUAUCCACUGUGUUUUGAUGUCCAUCCAUUCCCA